rnacentral:sRNA from 1 species
UUAAAUGUCCUUAAUAGAUUCGACGGUUC